rnacentral:rRNA from 1 species
UACAGAGGGCCCAAGCGUUGUUCGGAUUCACUGGGCGUAAAGGGUGCGUAGGCGGUCGGGUAAGUCUGAGGUGAAAUCUCCGAGCUCAACUCGGAAACUGCCUUGGAUACUGUUCGGCUAGAGGGUUGGAGGGGGGACUGGAAUUCUCGGUGUAGCAGUGAAAUGCGUAGAUAUCGUAAGGAAGACCAGUGGCGAAGGCGGGUCUCUGGACAGUUCCUGACGCUGAGGCACGAAGGCCAGGGGAGCAAACGGG